CCUGAUGGCUCAGAGGGUAAAGCGUCUGCCUGCAAUGUGGGAGACCUGGGUUCAAUCCCUGGGUCAGGA
rnacentral:tRNA from 1 species